rnacentral:rRNA from 1 species
ACAGAGGGUGCAAGCGUUGUUCGGAAUUACUGGGCGUAAAGCGUGCGUAGUCGGUAUUGAGAGUCACGGGUGAAAUCCCAAGGCUUAACCUUGGAACUGCCUGUGAGACCUCAGUACUAGAGUGUGAGAGGGGAUAGUGGAAUACCCAGUGUAGCGGUGAAAUGCGUAGAGAUUGGGUGGAACACCGGUGGCGAAGGCGGCUAUCUGGCUCACAACUGACGAUCAGGCACGAAAGCGUGGGGAGCAAACAGGAUUAGAUACCCUGGUAGUCCACGCCGUAAACUAUGCAUACAAGCUGUAGUGGGAUUUUACUCCUGCUGUGGCGAAGCUAACGCAAUUAGUAUGCCGCCUGGGGAGUACGGUCGCAAGACUA